rnacentral:lncRNA from 1 species
AUGGAGGAGGCGGCGAGCGAACGCAUGGCAACGGUGGCAAUGACGGUGACGCGGGCAUGGCGAUGCCGCAGCGAAGGGAGAUGCACGGCCUCCACGCCGCCGCCGAUGAAGAAGCUGACGACGGCGACGGCCGGGAUGCCGAACCCCCACCCCCACCAGCGUGCCGAUGUCGAUGGCUGGGAUGCUCAACGAGGCAGAGGCGAGGUUGUCGAGGUGGAGGACCCGGCGGCGCUUGUAGAUGAAGCGGCGGCGGCGGCAUCCUCGAGGUCGGGCGGGAAAGGGAAGGCGACGGCGGUGGAGGAGGAGGAGGUGAACGGGUUCUUCGUGGAGGAGGAGGUGGGGGCGGUGUCGAACGCGUCGUCGAUCGGGGUGGCAUCGUCGGACAGCUCGACGGGAGAACUCGUCAUCGGAGAAGGAGGGGCAUUCUCGUCUCUUCAAGCCACUUUCCAGAGAAAAUGAUAUCCAAAAU